rnacentral:SRP_RNA from 1 species
GCCGGGUGCGGUGCCGCGCGCCUGUAAUCGAAGUUAAGAGGCUGACGCUGGUGGAUCGUUUGAGCUCAGGAAUUCUGAGCUGCAGCGGACUAUGCCGAUCGGGUGUCCGCACAAAGUAUCAGUAUCGAUAUGGUGCUCCUGGGAGAGCCCAGGACCACCAGGUCGUCUAAGGAGGGGUGCACUGGCCCAGGUUGGAGACAGAGCAGGUCAAUGCCCCCGUGCCACUCAAUAGUGGGAUCGCGCCUGUGAAUAGACGCUGUAGUGCAGCCUGAGUAAUACAGCGGGAGCCAGUCUUUU